GAAAUGCGAUAAGUAAUGUGAAUUGCAGAAUUCAGUGAAUCAUCGAAUCUUUGAACGCACAUUUCGCCCGCCAGUAUUCUGGCGGGCAUGCCUGUUCGAGCGUCAUUACAACCCUCAGGCCCCCGGGCCUGGCGUUGGGGAUCGGCGGAAGCCCCCUGCGGGCACAACGCCGUCCCCCAAAUACAGUGGCGGUCCCGCCGCAGCUUCCAUUGCGUAGUAGCUAACACCUCGCAACUGGAGAGCGGCGCGGCCACGCCGUAAAACACCCAACUUCUGAAUGUUGACCUCGAAUCAGGUAGGAAUACCCGCUGAACUUAAGC
rnacentral:misc_RNA from 1 species